rnacentral:rRNA from 1 species
CCUACGGGAGGCAGCAGUGAGGAAUAUUGGUCAAUGGGCGCGAGCCUGAACCAGCCAAGUCGCGUGAGGGCUGAAGGUUCUAUGGAUCGUAAACCUCUUUUAUAAGGGAAUAAAGUGUGGGACGUGUCCUAUUUUGUAUGUACCUUAUGCAUAAGGAUCGGCUAACUCCGUUCCAGCAGCCGCUGUAAUACGGAGGCUCCGAGCGUUAUCCGGAUUUAUUGGGUUUAAAGGGUGCGUAGGCGGCCUUUUAAGUCAGCGGUGAAAGUCUUGGGCUCAACCAUAGAAUUGCCGUUGAAACUGGGGGGCUUGAGUAUGUUUGAGGCAGGCGGAAUGCGUGGUGUAGCGGUGAAAUGCUUAGAUAUCACGCAGAACUCCGAUUGCGAAGGCAGCUUACUAAGCCAUAACUGACACUGAAGCACGAAAGCGUGGGGAUCAAACAGGAUUAGAUACCCGUGUAGUC